GAGGCUCAUUGCAUAAUCAGACAUUGCCAAUAAAAUAUUUGAAUAUUUUGGGAUAUUGGAUUUUGUUAAAAAAUGUCUUUAAUAUUCUUCACUGUCUAUACAGUAGGUGGCGGUAGAUCAUACUAGUUUGAACAGUAGGUUGGUGAAAUGUAUGGAACUUUCUGAUUGGCUCGCGCAAAUCACUCGGAAUUCGAAUUUGGCAAACCAAACGGAUACACAAAAGUAACUUUUUAGCAAGCAGUGAGUGUGAGAAACGUUUAAGUGACCAAUGCCAGGCAGAGUGAUGCCACCGACAGGAAGGGGAAUGGACAACAAAGGCCCAAAACAAAAAUUUGCACAAGAGGUUGAACAAACAUCUGCAUAUUGUGACAAUUCUUCAGCAAAAAAGAAAAAAGCACAUAGUAGUAAAACACCAGCUUCAUACUCUUCAGAUUU